UACGUAGGGGGCAAGCGUUGUCCGGAAUCAUUGGGCGUAAAGAGCGCGUAGGCGGCCCUGUAAGUCCGCUGUGAAAGUCAAGGGCUCAACCCUGGAAUGCCGGUGGAAACUGUCAAGCUUGAGUCCGGAAGAGGCGAGUGGAAUUCCUGGUGUAGCGGUGAAAUGCGCAGAUAUCUGGAGGAACACCGGUGGCGAAGGCGGCGUUCUGGACUGUAACUGACACUGAGAAACGAAAGCCAGGGUAGCAAACGGG
rnacentral:rRNA from 1 species